rnacentral:tRNA from 1 species
GCGGUCGUAGCUCAGUUGGUAGAGCGCCAGGUUGUGGUCUUGGAUGUCGCGGGUUCGAGCCCCGUCGAUCGCCCCA